UCAUGUUUCUUUUCUUAUCACUAUACUUCAGUAAUGGUAUCUACACAAUGUAUACAUACUGCUAUCAUAGUGCAGUGUGAAUGAAGUGUGCUGCUUCUACUUGCAUAAAAGCUGAUAUUGACAUGCUCCUUAGCCAUGUGAUCUUCAAGGGCCUUUGGCUAUGUGUAUCACUUCACAGAUUAAAGAUGUAGCUACAAUCAUUAUUAGUUUUUUGGUUAUCUUCCUUUUUAAAGAAGCAGCUUAGAGACCUACUGGCUGCUCUGGAUCAAGAUUAUAAGCAGAUUUCAUAUAUUUGGACAACAGACAGAGAUUGUGUUUCAUAUAUGCAUAUGCAUUUAUUGUAUAAUUCAGUUCCACCACCACAUUACUACCUACAUGAAUUUCCCCUAUACCAGAUAUUAACUUUUGAAAUUAGUGACAUCUACUCAAAUAAAUAUCCACAGGUUGGCAUAGACAUGUUUACAUCAGCAAUCUUUUCUUUGAGAUAUCUGGUGGCCUUUCGUGUAAGUUCAAUGUAUCCAUUUAUCAUUCCAUUGCUUUCUUGAUUCAACAAUAACAAUAAAGGACUGCUAAAUUGUACUUUGUAGAGAAAGGGAUGACGUACACCUAGGUUAUAUAGGCUAAAGAGUAUCGAUAGUCUGACCGCACAUCAUUUUUUGUACACUCAGUAAUCUUUAAUGGUUUAUUAACACUAUCUAAUCCGAAGUAGAUGUUUAUUAUUUGUUCCCUUUUCCUUACUUAUCCAUAGAAUAAUGAUCUUUAUUUUUAUCUGUUUUGUAGAACCAUCGAAUUCAAGUCAUCUUUGAGUACAUGACAUCUUCUGAAGUUCGUGCCAUCAUGCUUUAGUUUUCCCACAUCAGCUGAGAUUAUUCAAAUAAAAAGACGGUCUCAGGCACAAGAGCAUGAUGUGCUUCCGCCAGUUGCUUUCACACCAAGGCCACGCGGUUGAUCAUCUAAGCGCACCUAUGAAGUUGACCAACAAGGAAGUUGGCCAGAGCUACUAAUUAGUAUGCCUAAUUGCUAUUGCUUUGUAGUUUGACCGCCUCUACCGUCAGUAUGCCUGGCUUUUGCUUUCUUAUUAUGUUCCUGCUAUUAGUACUUCCUCUCUCGUGUUCGUGCUCUUAGUAUUGAACUUAAUGUUGUAGUUAUUAGCUUUUGUGGUCUAAUGAACUAACUGAGUGUUUAUAAUUUCAUGAUGAUGUUGAACUCGAUAACUAAAUGAUCAUUAUCUGC
rnacentral:lncRNA from 1 species